GAGGAGGUUUGUUCAGUGGUGAGCAUUCGACUACUGAUCGAGAGGUCCCCGUUUCAAACACGGGUGUCCCCUUCUUCA